rnacentral:sRNA from 1 species
GAGGUUCCGGUGCUCGCCGCCGCCCAGCUCCCAGCCGAGGCUUUCUCAACCGCGUCAAUAAAAGGCCGCCCCGACCCGCCCCCGCGCCCCGCAGCCCUGCUGGACACCCCGGGCUGCAGCUGAGCGGGCGCAGACGGGCCGAGGCGAGCGCCGGGCGCGCAGGGACCGAGGGACCGAGUGCUCCCCAUGAGCGCACGUGGGCCGGGCGGUCCGCAAGCCCGGCUGAGAGCGCGCCAUGGGGCAGGCGGGCUGCAAGGGGCUCUGCCUGUCGCUGUUCGACUACAAGACCGAGAAGUAUGUCAUCGCCAAGAACAAGAAGGUGGGCCUGCUGUACCGGCUGCUGCAGGCCUCCAUCCUGGCGUACCUGGUCGUAUGGGUGUUCCUGAUAAAGAAGGGUUACCAAGACGUCGACACCUCCCUGCAGAGUGCUGUCAUCACCAAAGUCAAGGGCGUGGCCUUCACCAACACCUCAGAUCUUGGGCAGCGGAUCUGGGAUGUCGCUGACUAUGUCAUUCCAGCCCAGGGAGAGAACGUCUUUUUUGUGGUCACCAACCUGAUUGUGACCCCCAACCAGCGGCAGAACGUCUGUGCUGAGAAUGAAGGCAUUCCUGAUGGCGCGUGCUCCAAGGACAGCGACUGCCACCCUGGGGAGGCGGUUACAGCUGGAAACGGAGUGAAGACCGGCCGCUGCCUGCGGAGAGAGAACUUGGCCAGGGGCACUUGUGAGAUCUUUGCCUGGUGCCCGUUGGAGACAAGCUCCAGGCCGGAGUGAGUGGCUGCAGCCUCAGGACCCUGAGGGGUUUCCCAGCCCCACGCGGUGGGUCCCAGCCUGAGGGUGGAGUCCUGCCCACUCUGGGAGCCUCACGCUGAGGGAGGAGUCAGGCUGUCCCAGCAAGACCCGACGGCCUCCCCAGCAUGAGCAAAUUAACUGUCCUGGGCAGAGGCUCCAGGGGACCCAAGGAACAGGCCUCACACUGGCCCAGGCCUGGGGGAGGGGCACAGGGGUGGGGCCUCCUGGACAGGCUGUUCUGGGUUGGUUUUCAGGGAGCCGUUCCUGAAGGAGGCCGAAGACUUCACCAUUUUCAUAAAGAACCACAUCCGUUUCCCCAAA